AGAGUUUGAUCAUGGCUCAGAUUGAACGCUGGCGGCAGGCCUAACACAUGCAAGUCGAACGGUAACAGGAAACAGCUUGCUGUUUCGCUGACGAGUGGCGGACGGGUGAGUAAUGUCUGGGAAACUGCCUGAUGGAGGGGGAUAACUACUGGAAACGGUAGCUAAUACCGCAUAACGUCGCAAGACCAAAGAGGGGGACCUUCGGGCCUCUUGCCAUCGGAUGUGCCCAGAUGGGAUUAGCUUGUUGGUGGGGUAACGGCUCACCAAGGCGACGAUCCCUAGCUGGUCUGAGAGGAUGACCAGCCACACUGGAACUGAGACACGGUCCAGACUCCUACGGGAGGCAGCAGUGGGGAAUAUUGCACAAUGGGCGCAAGCCUGAUGCAGCCAUGCCGCGUGUAUGAAGAAGGCCUUCGGGUUGUAAAGUACUUUCAGCGGGGAGGAAGGGAGUAAAGUUAAUACCUUUGCUCAUUGACGUUACCCGCAGAAGAAGCACCGGCUAACUCCGUGCCAGCAGCCGCGGUAAUACGGAGGGUGCAAGCGUUAAUCGGAAUUACUGGGCGUAAAGCGCACGCAGGCGGUUUGUUAAGUCAGAUGUGAAAUCCCCGGGCUCAACCUGGGAACUGCAUCUGAUACUGGCAAGCUUGAGUCUCGUAGAGGGGGGUAGAAUUCCAGGUGUAGCGGUGAAAUGCGUAGAGAUCUGGAGGAAUACCGGUGGCGAAGGCGGCCCCCUGGACGAAGACUGACGCUCAGGUGCGAAAGCGUGGGGAGCAAACAGGAUUAGAUACCCUGGUAGUCCACGCCGUAAACGAUGUCGACUUGGAGGUUGUGCCCUUGAGGCGUGGCUUCCGGAGCUAACGCGUUAAGUCGACCGCCUGGGGAGUACGGCCGCAAGGUUAAAACUCAAAUGAAUUGACGGGGGCCCGCACAAGCGGUGGAGCAUGUGGUUUAAUUCGAUGCAACGCGAAGAACCUUACCUGGUCUUGACAUCCACGGAAGUUUUCAGAGAUGAGAAUGUGCCUUCGGGAACCGUGAGACAGGUGCUGCAUGGCUGUCGUCAGCUCGUGUUGUGAAAUGUUGGGUUAAGUCCCGCAACGAGCGCAACCCUUAUCCUUUGUUGCCAGCGGUCCGGCCGGGAACUCAAAGGAGACUGCCAGUGAUAAACUGGAGGAAGGUGGGGAUGACGUCAAGUCAUCAUGGCCCUUACGACCAGGGCUACACACGUGCUACAAUGGCGCAUACAAAGAGAAGCGACCUCGCGAGAGCAAGCGGACCUCAUAAAGUGCGUCGUAGUCCGGAUUGGAGUCUGCAACUCGACUCCAUGAAGUCGGAAUCGCUAGUAAUCGUGGAUCAGAAUGCCACGGUGAAUACGUUCCCGGGCCUUGUACACACCGCCCGUCACACCAUGGGAGUGGGUUGCAAAAGAAGUAGGUAGCUUAACCUUCGGGAGGGCGCUUACCACUUUGUGAUUCAUGACUGGGGUGAAGUCGUAACAAGGUAACCGUAGGGGAACCUGCGGUUG
rnacentral:rRNA from 13 species